UGAGUCCAUAAUUCUCAAAGCGACCACUCCUCCCUUCAUCCCUCUCCCUAUUCAACUCUUCUCUCUCCCUUCUCUUUCUUUGCUCUCGUCUCUGCGUCCCCUUCUCUUCGGUGAGCUUUUCGGCAGUCUCCGGCAGUGAUUCCUUGCGGCGCUUCGGUCCGAGUGGUAACACUCGAUGCUGAGGAAUCUCCAUUUCCCGAUUGGUUAGUGCCAUGGAUACCAAUCUUGGAUUUGCUCUGUUUUGGUGUUAGCUCUGGACUUCCUCGUAACUGGACGAGCUGGCGAUCGAGAACCACCAAAAGAUCAGCUUCUGUGGAGCAAGCAGAAUAAAGUGAUGGUGGGCUCGAUGAGAAUGGUCCGCCAUGACUGAGGCCGCUUCUGAAGACGAGCUUCUUUGUUCCCUGUGAGGUUCAUGCCGAUUCAACAAGAACAGAUGCAAUAUGUAAUUUUUGGAUUGCAUAGGGCGGGCUCUUUAUUCCUAUUGCCUCGCCAACCACAAGGACCACCACGUUGUUCAGAUUCGGAGGUCAUCGUGCCAUAACAUGAUAAGGUGUCAGAGGCGUCGAAGCUCAACAAGAGGCUGCAGCCGAGGCCUGGAAGAGGGUGACCAACACCUACGAGAUUUGCGGCCGGAGCCUCCUCGAUUCCUUCCGGUAUUUGAUGAUAUUAGACAUUAUUCUGAAAGAUUUCGGAUUUCUAUAAGCAAGACUCCUCCUUGCUUCAAAUGUCUUUUUUUACCACCUCCGGCUUGUGGAGUCCAUGGUCUCCGAGGAGAGCGAUCUCAUCUUCCCCAGCCUCGAGUUCUCAGCCCAGGCCCUUGUCUCCUUCCCUGAAUAAAUACGUCGGCUUGCUCCCACGCCCGAUCUUCAUCCUCCUCUUGUCAACUACUCUGUUUCUUCUUCCUCUUAUUUUAUUAAUCUCUGUAAAGAACUGAAGCACAGGGAAUGCCACCUUAAUUUAAUCUCCAUGCAAAGAGUUCAA